GCUGGGCGUGGCAGUGUGCGCCUGUAAUCCCACCUACUUGGGAGGCUGAGGCAGGAGAAUCGCUUGAACCUGGGAGGCAGAGGUUGCAGUGAGCCAAGAUCACACCACCGCCCUCCAGCUAGGGCAACAAGAGUGAAACUCUGUCUCAAAACAAAAACACUAAAUUGGCAUUAGGUGAGGGAAUAAAUGUUCUUUUUUUUUUUUUUUGAGAUGGAGUCUUGCUCUGCUGCCCAGGCUGGAAUGCAGUGGUGUGAUAUCUUGGCCCACUGCAACCUCUGCUUCCCAGGUUCAAGUGAUUCUCCUGCCAC
rnacentral:sRNA from 1 species